rnacentral:snRNA from 1 species
GGAGGCGAGGGCGAUCUGGCUUGUGAUAUCCGGUCACCCUAUUGAUCGCCAGGGUUGACUCGGCUGAUCUGGUGGGUACCCUUCCUUCUACACAGCUCCAUAUGUAAUCCCCCCUGAGGUUGCCCACUCUGUGGAAAGACAACCUUCCCUGAAUAGAAGACUGUUGACGGUAUACAAAUAGCUGUGGUUCCUGUGAGAACCUCCAGACAAGUUCUUAAGAUUCUUAACCCCUUUAAAGCCCAAGGUCUUGCAGGGUGUGGUGGCCCUCACCUUGAAUCCUAGCACUCAGGAGGUGUGGUGGUACUCACCU